UGCUAAACCCUGCUGAGCGUCGUUUCUGGUGGGCAGAGUUGACAAGCCACCUGCUUCUUCACUACUCCUGACUCAUCUCUGCAGAGCAGACACACCUCACUUUUUGGGCAUCACUGAAGAAUGUUCUGACUUUACCUUUUGGGUUCAGAGGGGAGACUGCUGUUGCUAAGCCCUGCUGAGCAUCAUUUCUGGUGUGGCAGAGUUGACAAGCCACCUGCUUCUUGACUACUCCUGACUCAUCUCUGCAGAGCAGACACACCUCACUUCUUGGACAUCACUGAAGAAUGUUCUGAUUCCUAACCUGAAAAUCUGAAAUCUAUAGUGCUCCAAAAUCUGAAACCUUUUGAGCAACAACAUGACACCACGUGUAAGAAAUUCCACUUGUGAGUACUUAACACAAACUUUGUU